rnacentral:rRNA from 2 species
AGAGUUUGAUCCUGGCUCAGGACGAACGCUGGCGGCGUGCUUAACACAUGCAAGUCGAACGAAGAGCGAUGGAAGCUUGCUUCUAUCAAUCUUAGUGGCGAACGGGUGAGUAACGCGUAAUCAACCUGCCCUUCAGAGGGGGACAACAGUUGGAAACGACUGCUAAUACCGCAUACGAUCCAAUCUCGGCAUCGAGACUGGAUGAAAGGUGGCCUCUAUUUAUAAGCUAUCACUGAAGGAGGGGAUUGCGUCUGAUUAGCUAGUUGGAGGGGUAACGGCCCACCAAGGCGAUGAUCAGUAGCCGGUCUGAGAGGAUGAACGGCCACAUUGGGACUGAGACACGGCCCAGACUCCUACGGGAGGCAGCAGUGGGGAAUCUUCCGCAAUGGACGAAAGUCUGACGGAGCAACGCCGCGUGAGUGAUGACGGCCUUCGGGUUGUAAAGCUCUGUUAAUCGGGACGAAUGGUUCUUGUGCAAAUAGUGCGAGGAUUUGACGGUACCGGAAUAGAAAGCCACGGCUAACUACGUGCCAGCAGCCGCGGUAAUACGUAGGUGGCAAGCGUUGUCCGGAAUUAUUGGGCGUAAAGCGCGC